rnacentral:rRNA from 1 species
AUUGAACGCUGGCGGCAGGCUUAACACAUGCAAGUCGAACGAGUGGCGGACGGGUGAGUAAUGCUUGGGAAUCUAGCUUAUGGAGGGGGAUAACUACGGGAAACUGUAGCUAAUACCGCGUACCAUAGGAUGAGCCCAAGUGGGAUGAGGGAGUUGGUGAGGUAAAGGCUCACCAAGCCGCCGAUCUCUAGCUGGUCUGAGAGGAUGACCAGCCACGCUGGGACUGAGACACGGCCCAGACUCCUACGGGAGACAGCAGUUGGGAAUAUUGCGCAAUGGGGGGAACCUGACGCAGCCAUGCCGAGUAAAUGAAGAAGGCCUUCGGGUGGUAAAGUUCUUUCGGUAGCGAGGCGUUAACUACAGAAGAAGCACCGGCUAACUCCGUGCCAGCAGCCGCGGUAAUUC